UAGGGAAUCUUCGGCAAUGGGGGGAACCCUGACCGAGCAACGCCGCGUGAGUGAAGAAGGUUUUCGGAUCGUAAAGCUCUGUUGUUAAGGAAGAACGAGUGUGAGAAUGGAAAGUUCAUACUGUGACGGUACUUAACCAGAAAGGGACGGCUAACUACGUGCCAGCAGCCGCGGUAAUACGUAGGUCCCGAGCGUUGUCCGGAUUUAUUGGGCGUAAAGCGAGCGCAGGCGGUUAGAUAAGUCUGAAGUUAAAGGCAGUGGCUCAACCAUUGUAGGCUUUGGAGACUGUUUAACUUGAGUGCAGAAGGGGAGAGUGGAAUUCCAUGUGUAGCGGUGAAAUGCGUAGAUAUAUGGAGGAACACCGGUGGCGAAAGCGGCUCUCUGGUCUGUAACUGACGCUGAGGAUCGAAAGCGUGGGGAGCGAACAGG
rnacentral:rRNA from 1 species